CCCAAACACUGAACAGCAAGAGAGCAGGUCUAAGAGAUGGGAACCUGCUUGCACACUGUAAAGGAAUCCUAUUUUAGGAUUAAUAGGCACUUGCAUCAUUUUGGUCCUACGUGCUGUUUUAAGGAGCAUCUACAUCAUCAGCAAAUAUUUUUAUUGUGCUGACAGUGCACACAAAGUGAAAUGUGAAGGACUGUCUCUUCCAGGUGCAGCUCCAUUCAAACGGGAAACAAAACACUUAAACAAAGGAGGCUGUCCGCUGAGAAUUGCCCCUGCCCAAGGCAAGAGAAGAACAAGGAUGGAAUUGAUUGCAUUUCGUUGCAUCGUUUUUUAAUCCCAGCGAAGUUUUUGGGGGUUUGGUCAUGGGAGUUUUUUUAGCUACUCGGGAUUUGAUGCUACCCGGAACCAUCCCCAUUGUACUGUGUGAUGACCAAGGGAGCUGCCCCAGGGCUGUGACCCUGUUGAAGCCGAUAGCGACAACAUUCCGAGCUCCUUCCAUCACUUCUGCAGGCAGACCGGGAUGGCAGGCAGGCUCAAACGGCGCUAGAAAUCAUAUCUGUGUCAGAACUCGUAAACAGAUCACCCAAAAACCUGGAGGGACGUGCGCGGCUGCUCCCAAAAGCCCGAGGCUUGCCGCUAGAUGGCAAACUUUAAUUUUCAAAUCCUGGAGCUGCCGCCGCUCGUGCCUGGGGCUGUGUGCGGCCAGGGAUGGGG